rnacentral:rRNA from 1 species
UACGUAGGGGGCAAGCGUUGUCCGGAAUCAUUGGGCGUAAAGCGCGCGUAGGUGGCUUCAUAAGUCCGUUGUGAAAGUCAAAGGCUCAACCUUUGAAAGCCGAUGGAUACUGUGAAGCUAGAGUACGGAAGAGGCGAGUGGAAUUCCUGGUGUAGCGGUGGAAUGCGCAGAUAUCAGGAGGAACACCAAUAGCGAAGGCAGCUCGCUGGGACGUUACUGACACUGAGGCGCGAAAGCGUGGGGAGCGAACAGG